AUCCAGCUGAUGCAUCCGAAAUAAGACGAAACGCGCGUCCCGAAU
rnacentral:hammerhead_ribozyme from 1 species